rnacentral:tRNA from 1 species
GAGGGUAUAGCUUAGUGGUAGAAUGUGUGCUUCGUAGGCACAAGGUCCUGGGUUCAAUCCCCAGUACUUCUG